CCUACGGGAGGCAGCAGUGAGGAAUAUUGGUCAAUGGGCGGGAGCCUGAACCAGCCAAGCCGCGUGAGGGAAGAAGGUACAGCGUAUCGUAAACCUCUUUUGUCAGGGAACAAAGGCGGGGACUAGUCCCCGUAUGAGUGUACCUGAAGAAAAAGCAUCGGCUAACUCCGUGCCAGCAGCCGCGGUAAUACGGAGGAUGCGAGCGUUAUCCGGAUUUAUUGGGUUUAAAGGGUGCGCAGGGGGCCUGUUAAGUCAGCGGUAAAAGCCCGGGGCUAAACCCCGGCGAGCCGUUGAAACUGGCGGGCUGGAGUUGGAGAGAGGUACGCGGAAUGCGCGGUGUAGCGGUGAAAUGCUUAGAUAUCGCGCAGAACCCCGAUUGCGAAGGCAGCGUACCGGCUCCACACUGACGCUGAGGCACGAAAGCGUGGGUAUCGAACAGGAUUAGAUACCCGAGUAGUC
rnacentral:rRNA from 1 species